rnacentral:SRP_RNA from 1 species
GACGGGCCUUCCCGCAUGGCAAAGCGGCCUACCGGGUCAGGUGGGGAACCAAGCAGCCCACACCGUGGCGCCAGUGCCGGGGUCGAGGUCCGUCACC